UCACGACCACAACUCUAGGCUUCAUCACUGACAAUGAAAAGGUUAAAAAAAAUGCUGUUUCUUGUUUCUAAAUGAUCAUACAGUAGUUAAAGUGUUAGAUCCAUGGGUUUGCCGUGACACCGAGCAGAGACCUGCAGUCCAGCGGUGCAGGAUGUCUCUCUGAAGCAGAGGAUGGCGGUCGUCUUAAUUUAUGUCAGUCUUCUCAGACAGCCCACAAACAUUGGAAGACUUUCUGAUCAGAGACUGGAGCGGUGGUCCGGAGAGAGGAGGAUGUGGAGCCGGAGCUCGUCUGGGGGGCGGAGCUCGGCAGCACCUGGUGUCGUUGUGUCCUGAGUCUGAAUCUGCUGUCAGGAGGCUGACCUGGACCAUACCAUGCGUGGUGAAGCAUGUGUAACAAAUGUUCGCACAUUUGGAGUACUGUGCCGGGAAGAGGACGUGCUGUCCCUGAAGGAUGUCCGAGCUGAAAGAUGUCCGAGCGGAGACACCGGAGCGUCCUGUCAGCAGCAGAUAAACACUACUUCACCUAAGAGACUUGAGUAUCCAGUUCUUCAUUGACCUUCAGCAUUCAGUUGUUUGUCUUCACCUUUUCAGGUAAGCAAUUAAAAAAAAUGCUUUUGUAAUGUUGAGAAACACUGAAAUUAUUAUUCAUAAAAAACUUUCAACCACUGUUCUGUGAUGUCACGUAUAGUGAUAUACAAAUAUAUCUGAAGGAAAGGUGUAUUUGGGAUAAUCAAUAUUAUUAGUAUUAUUCAUGUAUUUAUUCAUUUUUAAAUCAGAGAAUGGGGGAAAAUAGAUUAUUAGUACAAAAACUAGUAACUAGUAAAAAAAAAAAUUGGUAACAAUAAUGUUCAUCUAUUAAUUGACGCUUGGUCAAACUCUCAUCUAAUUAAGUAUUGCUGUCUCAUUAAUGUAUUAAUGUAUUUAUUUAUUUUGUCGGCUAAAACCUGAGGAGAAGAAGAAGAUGACUUUAUUAAUCCCACAAUGGGAAAUUCAACCUCUGCAUUUAACCCAUCCUUUUUUACACACAAGUGAACACACCAUGCAAGGAGCAGUGGGCAGCACAUUACUGCGCCCGAAGCCAUCACCAUGUUGUUUUUUCACAUCAGAAUAAGUAUUUCACAUGAUGCAGAUCUUUCAGCAUGUGGUCCUCAAUAUAUAGUAUAGAAGUCACUGUAUUUUCUGACUUUUCCAGGUUUCCUGUGUCCAGCAUCUUCAAGACAGACUAAGCUAACUUUUCAUAUUUUUUGCACAUUUAUAUUUAGGUUAGGUUUAUAGUAGAGUUUUUAGUUUGUAUAGUUUAGCUUUUUAUGCUGGUCUAGGGACAGUUAAGUUAGCAAAUUAAUUUAGUUCAGAUCACUUACAGUUGCAUAUUAUUGUUACAAUUGUGUUAUUUUGUGAGUUAUUGUUGUACAGGCUAUUGUAUAUUGCAGGACCAAGUGAGACGAGGAAGACCACUGCUUCCAAGAUGCCGCGCUCAGAAAGUGCGUUGGACAAGUGUCGACCUUGCAGAUCCUGCCCCACUGAGCCCAACCACUUCCGACCAUGGGGUACCUCAAAGACCUCCGUCAACCAGCCGGCUGUGGAUGAUGGAUAACGCACCCACAACUCCUUCUCCAGUCUACAAGACACCCCCACAGUCCAAGAACAGCUGGAUGACCUCUGGACCCACUUGCCCCCGUUCACCAGUUGAAAAGAUAGGCUUUUUAAAAAAUUCUUCAAUUGUUAAUUCUGCACAAAGUGAUACACAAAACAUUGUAUGUCUUCCAUUUCAACAAACACAAACAUGAAAUGUAUAUUUCAAUACAUAACUUAAUGCAAAUCAAUCAUACUAAACAUCAUCUUUUUUUUUAAACCAA